UCGACGGGUAGCCGGCCUGAGAGGGUGACCGGCCACACUGGGACUGAGACACGGCCCAGACUCCUACGGGAGGCAGCAGUGGGGAAUAUUGCACAAUGGGCGGAAGCCUGAUGCAGCAACGCCGCGUGAGGGAUGACGGCCUUCGGGUUGUAAACCUCUUUUAGCAGGGAAGAAGCGAAAGUGACGGUACCUGCAGAAAAAGCGCCGGCUAACUACGUGCCAGCAGCCGCGGUAAUACGUAGGGCGCAAGCGUUAUCCGGAAUUAUUGGGCGUAAAGAGCUCGUAGGCGGUUUGUCGCGUCUGCUGUGAAAUCCCGAGGCUCAACCUCGGGCCUGCAGUGGGUACGGGCAGACUAGAGUGCGGUAGGGGAGAUUGGAAUUCCUGGUGUAGCGGUGGAAUGCGCAGAUAUCAGGAGGAACACCGAUGGCGAAGGCAGAUCUCUGGGCCGUAACUGACGCUGAGGAGCGAAAGGGUGGGGAGCAAACAGGCUUAGAUACCCUGGUAGUCCACCCCGUAAACGUUGGGAACUAGUUGUGGGGUCCAUUCCACGGAUUCCGUGACGCAGCUAACGCAUUAAGUUCCCCGCCUGGGGAGUACGGCCGCAAGGCUAAAACUCAAAGGAAUUGACGGGGACCCGCACAAGCGGCGGAGCAUGCGGAUUAAUUCGAUGCAACGCGAAGAACCUUACCAAGGCUUGACAUAUACGAGAACGGGCCAGAAAUGGUCAACUCUUUGGACACUCGUAAACAGGUGGUGCAUGGUUGUCGUCAGCUCGUGUCGUGAGAUGUUGGGUUAAGUCCCGCAACGAGCGCAACCCUCGUUCUAUGUUGCCAGCACGUAAUGGUGGGAACUCAUGGGAUACUGCCGGGGUCAACUCGGAGGAAGGUGGGGAUGACGUCAAAUCAUCAUGCCCCUUAUGUCUUGGGCUUCACGCAUGCUACAAUGGCCGGUACAAAGGGCUGCAAUACCGUGAGGUGGAGCGAAUCCCAAAAAGCCGGUCCCAGUUCGGAUUGAGGUCUGCAACUCGACCUCAUGAAGUCGGAGUCGCUAGUAAUCGCAGAUCAGCAACGCUGCGGUGAAUACGUUCCCGGGUCUUGUACACACCGCCCGUCAAGUCAUGAAAGUCGGUAACACCUGAAGCCGGUGGCCUAACCCUUGUGGAGGGAGCCGUCGAAG
rnacentral:rRNA from 1 species